CUCCCUCUGCUCCAGCACCACCUCCCUCUGCCCCAUCAUCUCCCUCUGCUCCAGCACCACCUGAUACGCAGAGAAAAUCCCUAGCAGAGAAAUAUGUCCAUGAAGCUUUUUCUGGAAAAAACGUCUUUGUCCUUCUGUCAAAAGUGAAUGCAUAUAAGUUGUUUUACUCUGACAUUUACAAAAUUGGUCCUGGCAUGGAACUGGUGAGUCAGAUCCUCUGUGACAUGUGCCUGAGGUGGUUCCAUCAGGCGUGUGUGGCUAGCCCACCAACUGAAAAAAUUUUUUACUGCUUUGCAUGUUUGCCUUAGGUUCCUGAGUUUGCUGUGGUGUGCUGGUUUAUGCAUGUUGUUUAAUGCUUCAUAAAGGACAUUUUAAAAACUAUGUUUGAUAUUUAUUCUUCCAAGACUUUAUUUUAACAUAGUUAUUGAAAGAUUUAAAUUCC